UGGGUCAGGGUAUAAAAAUUGAUAAGAAAUGAAUUUUGCAUAGCAUAUUAGAAAGCUUACCUAUUCUUCAGUUGUAGUAUUAAUUCUACACAAAGCUCAGUACAUUUAAAUCAUUUACAUUUAAAAAGUAUCGAAGCGAAUUUUGUUAUAAGUUCGCUUGCAUUUUAGCUAAAUUUAAUAUUUGAAAAUAGCCAGAUUUGUAGCUAAUAGCUGUUUGAAAAUUUUUGUAGCAAUCGGCCUUAAAAAGUAGCCAGAUCUAGCUACAAAAUAGCUGAUUCGGCAACACUGUUUGGAUGUAGUCU